GUUUGGUUUUUCUUUUUUUUUUUUAGCCAGGCCUGCAGCAUACAGAAGUUCCUGGGCCAGGGAUCGAAUCCAAACCACAGUAGUGACAACACCAAGUUCCUAACCACUAGGCCACCAUGGAACUCCUCCCACAAUAGAUUUUUAAUCUUUCAAUCUCCACAUUAGAAAAUUCAUUAUGAAUCUCCAGUUUGAUUACUCAGAAAAAGAUAUUUCUAUAAAAUAUUCCUAUACUUUUCAGAGUGUAUUCAGCUAUAAUAAAAACAAAAGAACAAUAAUAAUAGUAGUAAUAACAACCAAUGGCUAUCAUUUGUUGAAUGCAGAUUAUUGUGCCAGGUGCUGUUUAAGUACUUAUGGAUAUUAACUCAGUUAAUCCUAUAACCACCCUCUGAGGUUAAGAAAUGUUAUCAUCCCCAUUUUACAGAUAAAGACACUAAGGUACACAGAGGUUAAUACUACCUUCAAGUCACAGAACUAUUGUCAGGGCUAAGAUUUUAACCAAGUGGUCUGACUCUGAUGUCCACAUUUUUAACCCCCAUGCUCGAAUGGAAUCAGUUGUCCCUCUAUCCUCUAAAGCAAACUUAAGUAGGAAAUACAUCCUCUUUCUGUCCUAACAGCCACAGUGAUAGAUCUCUCUCCUAAACAUGGUUCCCAAAACAAAGGACAAACCUACAGUCAAUCUGGUUGUUUCCAGGAAACACCUAAUUAAGCUGACCACUAUCAUUUUGGGAGGACUUUUUUCCCAAAUCUGCUCUCUCAUUUUUAUCCAUUUCUGUUAGAAAAUAAUUCUCAGAGAGUCAGAAAAGCAAAGUGGUCAACUAUGUUUGUCUCUACUUAAAUAACUACGCAAAUAUUUUAUUUCCUAAUGUCUAGGCCCUGCUUCCAGCUCUGUUUGAUCAUCUCUGUGCCUUUAGAAUUUACCAGAUUACCUUUGUAGAACUCAUGUGAGUGUGUACAUAGCCGUUACGUUGCUAAGUGCAGAGGCCAAGUCUUCACCAUCUGUUCCUGUUCUUACCCUCUAAGAAGCACUCAAAUGCUAGAGACCAGCAGCAGGCCCACCAUCUUGCAUGAGAGCGUAGAGGUGCUGAUUUAGCACCAGCAAAGGCUGGUUUCCUGCAGCAUUUAAACCAUCAAGGUGACCCUUCUUCAUAACCCUUCCUCUUACCUGCUGUAAGCCCUCAAAAAGGACUAGUCCUUACUCUUUCCAGCAAUACUGGGAUGAAAAAGAAAGUCCCUCUGCUUGUAACUGACAAAGUAAUUGUUACAUUGUCUAUGCCCGACUAAUUAGACAUGUGACUGGCAAGCAGCCCUUCAGGCAAUAAAAAAACGCAAGGAGAAAAAGAACUGCUAGCUGGGAGGUUCAAGAAUUGACUCCAUUUUCCCCCGAUGGUUAUACAAUAGACUCCUUCCCUUUCUUCCAGUUUUGCUGUCAGCCUUCAAAUGCUGUGGGCAGGCUGGCCUGGACGGCCAUGCAGGAAGAGAGCCAAUCACAUCUGCGCCCUAUUUGGAAGGAAAGAGGUUGAAACAGGCUCUGCAGAGCAAGCACUGCCUCAGCUUCCAUCCAAAGUGUAGAACAGAACCCACUGUCCUCUCUUAAAUACCCACUCUCCCCACUGUGCUUUCGAAAAUAGGCUGUCAUGUUAGUACAUAAAGCAGUGAAGCCUCUUUACCAAAAUCUAAGAGAUUACAGUGGAAAAACACAUAAGCCUUGUAUGUUGAUACUGUAAUUCCUAAGAUAUAGUACCUAUCUUCCCAGCACUAACCCUUGCACCCCACUCUUUCUUUCAUCAUAAAGAGCAUGCUUGGAUUCCACGUCAAUGUGAGUACCAGUUUCUAUAUCUUAUGUCAACCCCCCUCACAUGGCCAAGGGGAACACUGACAUUUAACUUUGACCCACUGAUUAUCUCAAAGCUAAAAGGGGAGGGGGGCUGGAUGAUGUGUCCCUGGAGUCUAGCUUACCUGGGGCAACCCAAAUCCCAGUCUUAGGUCAUCUUCCAGGGACAUGCAACAUUUAAUGACCCUGGGAGUUCCCACUGUAGUGCAGUGGGUUAAGAAUCCAACUGCAGUGGCUCAGGUCACUGUGGAAGGGCAGGUUGGAUCCCCAGCCCAGCACAGUGGGAUAACGGAUCUGGCAUUGCUGCAGCUGAAGAGUGGGUGGCAGUUGUGGCUUGGAUUCAAUCCCUGGCCCAGGAACUUCCAUACACUGUGGGUGCAACCAUAAAAUUAAAAAAUUAAUGAACCCUAAGGUAGGCUCCAAAACAUGCCUGUUAGGUAUACAUAGCUGAUCGGGGAACUCUGCUCUAGAGGUGCUGGAGUGCAAACUAAGUCAGCUUCGGGACAUUUACUCAUUACUUUUAGGGGCCCAUCGUCCCUGAUCCCAGGUGGAAGACCUGAAGGCCCUUCAACUAAGAGAACAGGACAGCACAUGUAAGAACAGCCAUCUGAAGCUACGCAGUAGUUCUAGGUUACUCUGGGAAACCCUGUUACAUGGACCUUUAAAUACAGGUGAUGGACAACCAGCAGAAAGCAGGUAAUGGUCCAAAGCAUAACAGCAGUAAAGGGACAUCCACAUGUUAGCUCUUAUCUUGACAGUAUUCUUGCUUCAAUCUACAUGAAGCCAAACAGCUAACAUCCAUACCUCAAACCAAUAGUGAAUUAAGGAGUUUAAUCUUUUAAAUGGGAGCCAAAAUGAUGCUGACAUAGCCUGAGACAAAAAGGAGCUUGUGCUUUAGAACCAUGAGAUAGCUGCUCCUCCAUCAGAAAGAGGUGAAUACUCAUUUCUAAAACUCAGGCUCUUGUUUUCCAACUGUGGUGAGGCCUGGGGGCUGGGUCUCCUCUAAGGUCCCUCUUUCCCCCAAAGACCCCAGCAUGCCUUCCCCAUCUUUCAUUCCAUCCAGGGCUCCCUAUUACCACCAGCCAAGGGAAUGGCCAAAGAACAAUAUGGAGACAAACACUAAAAACCUCCUCAAAGGUCAGCCUUUGAGCAAGAAGAAAAAAAACAGAUGGUUUUCCAGCUUAUUUGUACAAUUAUUUGUCCCCUACGCCCAACCUCUUCAGAUAAACAAGUUAUUCCCAAUGGCACUCUCCCUCUCAGGCAGGUGGAACAAUACUUAACAUUUAUUUCCUGCUACUCUGUGUCAGGUACUAUACUAAAUGCUUUUAUGUAUUAUCUCAUUUAACAAUUCCAGGAGAUGGGCCCCACUGUAGUCCCCUUUUCCCAGCUAUAAUGUCAAACAGUAGGUCUAGAAUUCAAACCAGGCAUGACUCCAGAGCCCUAACUAAACCGAACCCACCUUUAUUUUUAGCCCAUGUCUUGCCACAGUCAGCUGCUCCCAGAGUCAGCCCAGACAAAGCAGCAUCUUCCACGAGUGGAAACUCUUAUUAGUGUCAACAUGAUGCCUCACAAGCAAGGAACAAUAACUGAGAUUAAUGACACUGCUGCUGAGAUUAACCUCGAUGUCCCCAUGGUUUAGGCACCAAGCAUGGAAGGCCAGGUGUGCCUGACACAAUCUAAUCCAUCUCUGGGGCCUGGGUCCAUCCAUGACUCUUCUUAGCUCUGAUCUAAAAGGGCAGCCUUGUAACUUCUGUCCACAAAGAAGUUUCACCACAGGAAGUGGCAGCAGACCCAUCCAACCCAGAUGCUUUCAUACAGGGCAGGGAACAAGUAUGUUUACGAUCUGAAACAAAGCCCCGACACCUGUCUACACACUAAAGCAGUUAAGACACACACUUACAGGCAUAUACACUCAACUGCCCAGGCGUCCUGUUCUCCUGCCUACUCCUGAGUUACUCAUCACCUUUACUGUUGCCCAAUCCUCUUUCCUCACCCUUCCCCAAGUGAUCCUAAAUUGAGGAGUUUAUGAUGGUAAAGCUCUUUGGGGACAUGGGGGUUGGGGGAAGAGUGCCAGAGGGAGAAGAGGUGUGCAGGAAAUCAAUGACAAUCAAAGGUAAGUUUACAGUCGUCAUUGUUUCAUGAAGAAGCAGUCCGGGAGAAGACAGAAGAUGACAGUGGUACAGGUGGGUCAGCACUCAGCAGCUGCACUGUCACCACCAUAGGCCAUUCCCCAAAUUUCUAGACCUUCCCAGCAGUUUCUUCUUGUCAGCCAAGCCAUGCCCUCCAGCAUGAGAAGCACAUGUGUAAAGCAAUUAGGACUCAGGAAGCAUGUUCAGAAUUAAGUUUGCAGUGGAAAUAGGGAAAGGCAGAGCCCCAGUUAAAUCUGGAGAACCCCUGCCAGCCGUGUUCACACAUCUGAGUGGGCGUCAGCCAGUAAGUCCGUU
rnacentral:lncRNA from 1 species